rnacentral:misc_RNA from 1 species
AACGCACCUUGCGCUCCUUGGUAUUCCGAGGAGCAUGCCUGUUUGAGUGUCAUUAAAUUCUCAACCUUUAUUAACUUUUUGGUUAGUAAGUGGAUUGGAAGUGGGGGCAUGUUGGUUUCUUCAUUGAAAUAAACUCCCCUGAAAUGCAUUAGCUGGUUGCCUUGUGCGAACAUGUCUAUUGGUGUGAUAAUUAUCUAUGCCGUGGGCUAUUUGCCGUUUAUAGCACUGCUUAUAAUCGUCUGUUCAUUCAGACAAUAUAUGACAAUUUGACCUCAAAUCAGGUAGGACUACCCGCUGAACUUAA